CAGGGGAUAGUUUAAGCAGAAUCUUGGCUUUGGGAGCCAAAGGUGGGAGUUCAACCCUCUUUCCCCUGA
rnacentral:tRNA from 1 species